rnacentral:rRNA from 1 species
CAGUCGCCGCGGUAAUACGAAGGGUGCAAGCGUUAAUCGGAAUUACUGGGCGUAAAGCGUGCGUAGGCGGUUUGUUAAGUCUGCUGUGAAAUCCCCGGGCUCAACCUGGGAAUGGCAGUGGAUACUGGCAAGCUAGAGUGUGUCAGAGGAUGGUGGAAUUCCCGGUGUAGCGGUGAAAUGCGUAGAGAUCGGGAGGAACAUCAGUGGCGUAGGCGGCCAUCUGGGACAACACUGACGCUGAGGCACGAAAGCGUGGGGAGCAAACAGGAUUAGAUACCCGCGUAGUCCCUGUCUCUUAUAU